rnacentral:lncRNA from 1 species
AGAGUGAAGUACUUGUCGAGAAGCCAUCGAGUGUUUCCAAAACACAGUGAGCCGAGGGGAGCUGCACUUCUUGAUGAUUGACCAUGUAACCCAGGAGAGAUUCGUGGAUGAGGUCACUUUGUCCAGUGAUGCUCCAGGAUGGUCACCCAGGAACUUUUCAUCAGCUAGCCAAGAAACCAGUGGAAUUGCUGAGCGGACGGCAGGAGUCUGA